rnacentral:lncRNA from 7 species
GUCAGCCUGAUGAGUAAUUCUGAGCCUUCACCAAGGGAAAGGAACUAAUGCUUUAUCACCUUAGAGAAGGAGAGUGUUUUCAUCGUUGUUCUUUCCUUUAAGAAGCCACCAUGAUGUUGCCUCUUUUCAGUGACGCUAUUACCUGUGCUCUAUUCAGUACUGACCCUUCCUACAACUCUUGUUUUGUGGUCUGAAUACAUGGAUUCUUGUUCAGAUGCUGCACCCCUGAUACAACACAUAGAAUUCUGUAUCCUGCAGAGAUACAGCAUCCUUCUAACUGUGGAACUGAAUUGUGCCUUAAAGAAUACACAACCUUUACAGCGAGCUGGGACUUUCAUUAAGCUUACAUGCCACCUACAGCACUUCUUAAAAGAUGAAAGAUGCUUUAAUAGGGUUCUUUCCAUUUUUGGCUGUUCCACAGUGUGAGUCUGCAAGAAGUGAUGUCUUAACAUCUGUGGGAUGGUCCUGCCUCACAGACCAUUGUUUUUUCAUUAUCUCUCAGGAUGUAAAAUCUCUCAACUCACUCUUCUAAGAUGAAAGUUACACUGCUAGAGGUUAAAUACAGCUUUUUAUUAUUGCUGUUAGUUUUGUUUUACUAAGAAGAGAAGGAAUCAUAAAGCAAAAACCAGGUAUUUUGUUAGCAGGUACCCUGAGGAGAUGGUAGAUAAGUUCAUUGUUUUUCUUAGACUCUAAUAGUGUCUGGAAAUAAAUUCCUCUGCAGUGAAGGCAAAUAUAGCCAUUUCUGACUGCCAGUAGAAAAUAGUACACAAUUUUAUUUAUAAAUAAGAAAACACAGUUCUAACAAUAUAAUUCCCAUCUUGGAAAUGUUUCCUUCAUGGCUGCCUUACACUGGGUCAGGAAUCAAGCUUCCAGUACAUUUCUCUCUCAUUCAUUAUCAACACUUUUAUCUCAAUACACAGUAAUAACUAGCUUAAUUUCCCCUAGGCACCCAUAAGCUUUUAUGUUAGAAAAGUUCAAUUGUUGCAUCUUCAGAGCCUUUCUGAAUGCCAUUGUAUUUUCUCCUCAAACUGCAACUGAGAAGCAUAGUUUGUAGAAAAAAAUGUGUGAAAGAUAGGAACAUUUCAUUUCAACUUCUUCAUGCAAUAUUUCCUAUCUCCCAUUUUGAUGUAGUUCUGCAAAAUUGUUUAUUAAAUUUCUUUUCCAAAGG